rnacentral:rRNA from 1 species
AGUCAAGUGAAUAAGUGCAUCAGGUGGAUGCCUUGGCGAUGAUAGGCGAAGAAGGACGUGUAAGCCUGCGAAAAGCACGGAGAAGCUGGCAAAAAAGCAAUGAUACCGUGAUGUCCGAAUGGGGAAACCCACUGCACUCGUGCAGUAUCCUAGUCUGAAUACAUAGGGCUAGAGAAGCGAACCUGGAGAACUGAACCAUCUAAGUACCCAGAGGAAAAGAAAUCAACCGAGAUUCCGCAAGUAGUGGCGAGCGAACGCGGAAAAGCCUGUAUAUGAUAAUGGUUAAGAUAGAAGAAGGGAUUGGAAACUUCCGCCAUAGUGGGUGAUAGCCCCGUAUUUGAAAUCUUAACCAUGGUACUAAGUAUACGAGAAGUAGGGCGGGACACGUGAAAUCCUGUCUGAAUAUGGGGGGACCAUCCUCCAAGGCUAAAUACUCAUCAUCGACCGAUAGUGAACCAGUACCGUGAGGGAAAGGCGAAAAGAACCCCGGAAGGGGAGUGAAAUAGAACCUGAAACCUGGUGCAUACAUACAGUGGGAGCAUCUUUGUGGUGUGACUGCGUACCUUUUGUAUAAUGGGUCAACGACUUACAUUCAGUAGCGAGCUUAACCGAGUAGGGGAGGCGUAGGGAAACCGAGUCUUAAUAGGGCGACUAGUUGCUGGGUGUAGACCCGAAACCGAGUGAUCUAUCCAUGGCCAGGAUGAAGGUGCGGUAAAACGCAUUGGAGGUCCGAACCCACGCAUGUUGCAAAAUGCGGGGAUGAGCUGUGGAUAGGGGUGAAAGGCUAAACAAACUCGGAGAUAGCUGGUUCUCCCCGAAAACUAUUUAGGUAGUGCCUCGAGUAUGAGACUGAUGGGGGUAAAGCACUGUUAUGGCUAGGGGGUUAUUGCAACUUACCAACCCAUGGCAAACUAAGAAUACCA